AUACGGAGGGUGCAAGCGUUAAUCGGAAUUACUGGGCGUAAAGCGCGCGUAGGCGGUUUGUUAAGUCGGAUGUGAAAGCCCCGGGCUCAACCUGGGAACUGCAUUUGAAACUGAGUGACUUGAGUUUAAGAGAGGGGAGUAGAAUUCCGGGUGUAGCGGUGAAAUGCGUAGAGAUCCGGAGGAAUACCAGUGGCGAAGGCGGCUCCCUGGCUUAAAACUGACGCUGAGGUACGAAAGCGUGGGUAGCAAACAGGAUUAGAAACCCUGGUAGUCC
rnacentral:rRNA from 1 species